rnacentral:tRNA from 1 species
CUAACGAUGGCGGUAAUUCCGGUGUGCCGGCACCUGCCUGACGUGCAGGGGGUCGGGGGUUCAAGCCCCUCUGGCUUCACCA